ACAACAACAUUUAGUCAGAGGGGUCAGACAUUCCACCGUGACCUGAGACUUCCUGGAGGAGACAACAACAUUUAGUCAGAGGGGUCAGACAUUCCACCGUGACCUGAGACUUCCUGGAGGAGACAACAACAUUUAGUCAGAGGGGUCAGACAUUCCACCGUGACCUGAGACUUCCUGGAGGAGACAACAACAUUUAGUCAGAGGGGUCAGACAUUCCACCGUGACCUGAGACUUCCUGGAGGAGACAACAACAUUUAGUCAGAGGGGUCAGACAUUCCACCGUGACCUGAGACUUCCUGGAGGAGACAACAACAUUUAGU